rnacentral:pre_miRNA from 1 species
UUGUGCAAGAUGGAGAAGCAGGGCACGUGCAAGACUAACUCAUGAACACGCAGGGUGUGAACCUAGAGAAUCACAUUUUGAGCCACUAGGGUACCAGUCAAGCUAAUGGAGGAAUUUGAAUUAAUAUAUAGAAGAUUUUAGGUUUAAAUAUUGUCGUUAUUGUAAUUCUUCCAAAUAAAAAAGAAAGAAUCACAUUCUUUUCCGUUUCAUUUCACCUUAACCAGGUAGAUCUUUGAGUUAGUCCUUCAUGUGCCCCUCUUCCCCAUCAUGACAAC